rnacentral:rRNA from 1 species
CAUGCAGUCGAGCGGACGUUUUUGAAGCUUGCUUCAAAAACGUUAGCGGCGGACGGGUGAGUAACACGUGGGCAACCUGCCUUAUCGACUGGGAUAACUCCGGGAAACCGGGGCUAAUACCGGAUAACAUCUAGCACUUCCUGGUGCAAGAUUAAAAGAGGGCCUUCGGGCUCUCACGAUGAGAUGGGCCCGCGGCGCAUUAGCUAGUUGGAGAGGUAAUGGCUCCCCAAGGCGACGAUGCGUAGCCGACCUGAGAGGGUGAUCGGCCACACUGGGACUGAGACACGGCCCAGACUCCUACGGGAGGCAGCAGUAGGGAAUCUUCCGCAAUGGACGAAAGUC